GGUGCGGUAAGAGCGCACCGCAUGGCCGGUAACGGGCAUGGCAGGGUAAACCCCAUCGGGAGCAAAACCAAAUAGAAGCGGCGUAUAACCAGUUCCUAGGUUGUCGCUUGGGUAGGUUGCAAGAGGUGUUCGGUAACGGGCAUCCCAGAUGAAUGGCUGCACAUUAUGUGUUCACACAUAAGGACAGAACCCGGCUUAUAGACUGUCUAUCCUU
rnacentral:RNase_P_RNA from 1 species